rnacentral:rRNA from 1 species
GACGAACGCUGGCGGCGUGCUUAACACAUGCAAGUCGAACGGAAAGGCCCUGCUUUUGUGGGGUGCUCGAGUGGCGAACGGGUGAGUAACACGUGAGUAACCUGCCCUUGACUUUGGGAUAACUUCAGGAAACUGGGGCUAAUACCGGAUAGGAGCUCCUGCUGCAUGGUGGGGGUUGGAAAGUUUCGGCGGUUGGGGAUGGACUCGCGGCUUAUCAGCUUGUUGGUGGGGUAGUGGCUUACCAAGGCUUUGACGGGUAGCCGGCCUGAGAGGGUGACCGGCCACAUUGGGAAAGAGAUACGGCCCAGACUCCUACGGGAGGCAGCAGUGGGGAAUAUUGCACAAUGGGCGGAAGCCUGAUGCAGCAACGCCGCGUGCGGGAUGACGGCCUUCGGGCUGUAAACCGCUUUCGCCUGUGACGAAGCGUGAGUGACGGUAAUGGGUAAAGAAGCACCGGCUAACUACGUG